GACGAACGCUGUCGGCGUGCUUAACACAUGCAAGUCGAACGGAAAGGCCCUGCUUUUGUGGGGUGCUCGAGUGGCGAACGGGUGAGUAACACGUGAGUAACCUGCCCUUGACUUUGGGAUAACUUCAGGAAACUGGGGCUAAUACCGGAUAGGAGCUCCUGCUGCAUGGUGGGGGUUGGAAAGUUUCGGCGGUUGGGGAUGGACUCGCGGCUUAUCAGCUUGUUGGUGGGGUAGUGGCUUACCAAGGCUUUGACGGGUAGCCGGCCUGAGAGGGUGACCGGCCACAUUGGGACUGAGAUACGGCCCAGACUCCUACGGGAGGCAGCAGUGGGGAAUAUUGCACAAUGGGCGGAAGCCUGAUGCAGCAACGCCGCGUGCGGGAUGACGGCCUUCGGGUUGUAAACCGCUUUCGCCUGUGACGAAGCGUGAGUGACGGUAAUGGGUAAAGAAGCACCGGCUAACUACGUGCCAGCAGCCGCGGUGAUACGUAGGGUGCGAGCGUUGUCCGGAUUUAUUGGGCGUAAAGGGCUCGUAGGUGGUUGAUCGCGUCGGAAGUGUAAUCUUGGGGCUUAACCCUGAGCGUGCUUUCGAUACGGGUUGACUUGAGGAAGGUAGGGGAGAAUGGAAUUCCUGGUGGAGCGGUGGAAUGCGCAGAUAUCAGGAGGAACACCAGUGGCGAAGGCGGUUCUCUGGGCCUUUCCUGACGCUGAGGAGCGAAAGCGUGGGGAGCGAACAGGCUUAGAUACCCUGGUAGUCCACGCUGUAAACGGUGGGUACUAGGUGUGGGGUCCAUUCCACGGGUUCCGUGCCGUAGCUAACGCUUUAAGUACCCCGCCUGGGGAGUACGGCCGCAAGGCUAAAACUCAAAGAAAUUGACGGGGCCCCGCACAAGCGGCGGAGCAUGCGGAUUAAUUCGAUGCAACGCGUAGAACCUUACCUGGGUUUGACAUGGAUCGGGGGUGCUCAGAGAUGGGUGUGCCUCUUUUGGGGUCGGUUCACAGGUGGUGCAUGGCUGUCGUCAGCUCGUGUCGUGAGAUGUUGGGUUAAGUCCCGCAACGAGCGCAACCCUUGUUCACUGUUGCCAGCACGUUAUGGUGGGGACUCAGUGGAGACCGCCGGGGUCAACUCGGAGGAAGGUGGGGAUGACGUCAAGUCAUCAUGCCCCUUAUGUCCAGGGCUUCACGCAUGCUACAAUGGCUGGUACAGAGAGUGGCGAGCCUGUGAGGGUGAGCGAAUCUCGGAAAGCCGGUCUCAGUUCGGAUUGGGGUCUGCAACUCGACCUCAUGAAGUCGGAGUCGCUAGUAAUCGCAGAUCAGCAACGCUGCGGUGAAUACGUUCCCGGGGCU
rnacentral:rRNA from 1 species